GUCACCAUUAAUUGAAAUGUCCAUGACCCUCUGUCCCACAGAUGUAACUGAAGGAUCAAUUUCCGCAAAGUGUAACCAAACAGAGUACUUUUUAUUGGGAUCGAUAUCCAUUGUGUAUGUCAAUUCUGGCUCAUUGUCAGUGCUAAGAAGAGCAGUUUGAUAAAUAGAUCCUGGAUAAAAGUUUGGUGCUUUGGAAGUUGACUUUGUACUGUUUUUGGUAGAAAUGCGACGAUCAGAAUUCUGGCCAAAUGUCUUGAUUGAACUCCAAAACCGAUCACCACCCCAAUGAUCGCCACUGUAG
rnacentral:misc_RNA from 1 species